rnacentral:lncRNA from 1 species
AUUCUCUUUGUCUCUUCAAGGGCUACAACUUUCGUUUUUGAAUCACUUGAUUUCGUUUGAGAAAUGACAAAGUUAUGGCAAUUUGAAAAACUGCCCGGAAAACGGCCGCCGGAAAAACCAGUCCGGCGACCCAAGGAAGAAGAAGGUGCUACAGUAAAAAUAAAAAAUAAAAAUAAAAUUAUUUUAAAAAAUAUGUCGACGUUCGUGACGUCGAGUAGAUCACUGUGGUAUAUUCAUAUACCUAAAUUGAACACCGUAUGAGAAAGUUAUUGAGGAUUGUUGGUUAGGUGUUCAAAAUAACGUUUUAUAAUUUUCACAUUUAGGUGAAAAUGUGAAUUGACGAUCCGACCGUUGGAUCGUCACCAAACUUUGAUACGUUGCAAUACGUAAUAUUUGAGAGGAUUAUUGGAACUUACAGAUUGGGAAUCCGAUUUGCGGAUCUUCCGGAAUUGGAAUUGUAAGUCCAUAAUAUAAAAUGUUAACCGUCACUUAGUUUUGGAAAUUGACGGAGAUCCGACCGUUGGAUGGUAAUGAAAUUUUAGGUUGUUGUCCUAGAGGUAUAAUGUGGACCUCUGGAAGUUAUGGAUUUAAAAUCUGAGGGGUGGAUCUUCCGGAUCAAUCUACGUAGUGACGUAUUUUUAUAUAAGUUAUAUAUUCUCUAUCGAUAUGAAUUCUGAGGUUGGAAUUGAUUAUUGUUUUAGGCGCCGAUCGUCAUGACGCCUUGGCGUAUUGUGCUAGGGAGUUGUAGGGCGAACUCCAGGUGAGUGGGCAGUUUUUGUUUUCCGUAUAUAUAUAUAUAUACUUGACGUUUCCCAGGAAUUGAAUUGAAAUGAAAAUAUAUUUAAAAUGAAAUGCAUAUGAGUUAUGUGGAAAAACGGGAAGUGAAAUACCAUGCAUAGAAUUGAUAUGAAAAGUAUAUAGAAAUGUGAGUUGAAAUGCCAUGCAUGAAUUAAUAUAUGAUGCAUAUGUAUGAAUUGGUGCGGUGGACGCACAAGUAAGAAUUGAUUUAUGAUGCAUAUGUAUGAAAUGGUGCGGUGGACGCACAGGUGAGUAUUUUAAUUACUGUUAUGAUGAUGAUGAUAUAUAUUGAGCUCAAAUCCUGCACCAUGGUUUAGUGCUUAUAGUAUUCACCGCAUCGCACGCUCGCCUUGGAUCCAAGUAGAUGCUAGUCGUACAGUCCACGCGGAGUGGGUACGACAGGCCAGUCGCGAGAGUGUUAGUGAGAUUCCGACUGGUGGGUGACCUUAGAUUAUGUGCACAGAUGAUUUAUGAGAAGCACUAGAGCGUAACUUGUGUGCAGAAGGCCGGACAGGUCACAGAGGUGACUCCGGUAGAGUGAUAAUGAUAGAUUUUGAGCUUUAGGUUCAACCGUAUAGGGCUAUUAGAGGGCUUACGGUUGAUUACUUUCUUGCACCUGAUAUGAUUAUGUUGAUGCAUUCAUACCUUAUUACUGUUGAGAUGAUGUGGCAUGGCAUAAUUAAUAUGAGAAAUGUUGAGAUGACAUGGCAUGGCAUGAUUGAUAAAGAGAUAAUGUUGAGAUAGUAAAAAAUGAAGUUUUGAGAAUAUAUAUGUAUAUUUUAUAUUUUACAUUUCUGGGAAAGUAUACAGGUUUUACGGAGAGGGGUUACAACGUUUUGAGAAAUGUUUGGAUUUGGAAAAGAAUUGUUUUUACUGACCCACUCAAUUUUGGUUUUGCGCCCCUCCAGGUUCAGGAAUCACAAAGGUGUGGUGACUACGAGGAAUACAGCGGGGUUCUGACAGAUUGGACAAAAUUAGGACUCACCUUCGGGUGUAUCAACUUAUAAAUUGUAUAAUUAAAGCUUCCGUACUGUGCAAAUGGUUACGUCACUCUCACGUGACGGCCAGCAUGCCCUCCUUCGGGACGGGGUGUGUCAGUUGGUAUCAGAGCAUGGUUGCAAUCUUGGACAUUUUGAGAAGUUCUAGUGAAUUCUGUCAGAACUACACCGCCUCGUAGCAAGCCACUUAGUUAGAGGAAUUUAGUCUCCCUAAUAUAACGGUUUAGGGGAAACUAUUAUUAUGGUGAUUCAGUCUAUUAUAAAAAGGGACAUUUUAAGAUGGGUUAUGAGUUGAAUUUGAAUCACUUAAGAGAAAUGAUGAACCUGAGGGAGCGAAGUAACGGUUUAACCAUUUGGAAAAGAUGUUUCGGAUUAUGCAAGUCAAAGGAAUCUUCCUUCUGACAAAGGGUCGAGAUGACUACCUGGUUUGAGUUAUGAACGUGUAUCCUGAUGGAAGCAGGAGUAUUAAUUGUUGUCACCGGAGGAACAGCCGAUUUAAAAUUGUUUAAGGACUUGUUUAAUGAAAAGUUUAUCCCUCCGGCAUUUAUCGAUGGUAGUAAACAAGAGUUUACAAAUAUGAGACAAGGAAGGUGAUGAUCGAGGGAUAUUAUAAAAAGUUUUCAGACUUGCCUUGUUCCAUCCAGAUAUUGUUGUUAUUGGUGGAGGUGUUAUGUUGUUUUAAGCUGGGUGGCAAAAAGGGAAGUGGUAUUUUGGGUGACCACUAUCCAUUAUACUUCUUACCAGGAAUAUACGAGAUGCUGUUGAGUCUUGAGGACUCUGAGAACAUGAUCAACGAGAAUAAAGAAGAAUAAGAAAUGAAUGGGAAUUAAAAGAAGACGAUAAAGUUAAUGAUUCGUCAUAUCAAAGAGAUAGAAAGAUUCAGAGCUUCGAAAGAGUGAAGCUAGAGUUAAUUCUUCCAGCUGAGGUUUUAAUGUCGCUGGUCAGAGUAAAAGUGAUGGGUAUACUGGUAAUCCCAGAUAUUUGAGACAAGGUGUCUCGAGUAAAGGAAAUGUACUUUGUGCAGCAGGUACAAAAUUAACACUUUGGGAAGUGUGAAAUUAAUGAAUGUGUUUAUGUGAACAGAGGGGACACAGAAUUGUGAAUCGUCCCUAGAAUCAGUUGUACCCAACAGUUUUCUAUGACAUCAUAGUGUUGAUUCAGCAGAGUUAUGGAUUUAGUAGUUUGGUCGGAUUGACCGUUAGUACAGAGAGAUUUGAUGAGUUAUAUGUUCAGCCGUACAGACCAUGAGAAGUGGAUUCGAUUGACACAUGAGAAAUUGGUGAGUUAUAGGCUCGGCCGUACCGACCACGCGGAGUGGAUCCGGCCGACGUAUUAUUGAGAUAAGAGUUGAAUCAGCCGUAUUGGUCAUUCUAGUUGACUUCGGCUGAUAUAUUUCUUAUUAUGUAUGUUAUUACCUAGAGAGUAGUAAAUAAAUGUAGUUGAGACGAGUGUAUGUAUUUUGCAUUGAGUAACAAAAUAGUAAUGUUAUAUCUUUGAGAGUGGUUGCCUACUUAUCGAGACAACGAUGAUUUAUCAGUAUUGCGGGCUGCAGACCGUAAUAUUAAUAACUCAUUCGUGGAUUCGUUAAGCAAGCAACCCGGUAGAUUAUUUUAUGUUAGUAUUGUACUUAUUUGGAAUGCUUAAUAAUAAUAAAAUAUAUAUUGUAUCAGUUAAUUCUGUUCCAUUAGAUUGGUUGGUUAUAAUUGUGACAAGACGAAAUGUUAUGGGAAACCAGUACUUUCCAUCGAUCUGGAUGAACAGAGAUUACUUUUGUAAGUAUGCAAAAUGGAUUGAGUCAGGCUGUUAUUUAUGCUGUGAGAGCAAAGAGAUUGUUUUUGAAAGGCUGUUAAAAAUACUUAGCUCAUGUGGUGUUAAAUGAUGUUGUUUGGAGUAGUGUGAAUAAUGUCGAAAGAGUUAGACUUUUCUUGAUGUCUUCCUUGAAAGUAUACCUGGAUUGCCUUCAGGCAGAGAUAUGAGGUUCAUUAUUGAUUUGUUGCCAGGUAUAAAUCUAUAUUGGAGAUUGGUUCAGGAUGAGUUAAGGGAAUUGGAAAUUCAGUUGAAAGAAUUGGUUGAUAAAAGUUUCAUUCAACCUAGUACAACACUUUUGAGGAGCCCCAGUUUGUUGGUGAGGAAGAAAAUGGAUCUUGAGACUGUUCAUUGAUUAUAGACAAUGGAGUCGGGUAACGAUUGAGAACCGUUAUCCAUGGUGAUGUACUGAUGUUUAUUUAACCAGCUCAGAAGUAAUUGCGAAGAUUCAAAGAUUGAAUUGAGGUCUGGUUAUUACCAAUUAAAGAUUAUGAGCGACGUUGUUCUUAAGAUUGUUUUAUGAACUAUGGUGAUGCUAUAUGGAUACUCAUGCUGUUUUAUGAGUUAUUGGAUGAAGUAUUCCAAUAAUGCCUUGAUAAAUAGAUAUCAUUUUCAUUGAAGAUAUUCUGGCAUAUUCUGAGCCAGAGCAGAGCAUGUAAACGUAUUAAGUCGGUGGAAUAAAGAUUGGAAGAAUGUCGGUUGUAUGCUAAGUAGCAAAUGCUAAAGUUAGAUGAAUCAGGUGGCAUUCCGAGAUUUGUUAUAUAUUCUUAAGGUAUUCAAGUGAAUCCUUAAAAGAUAGCAGAAAUUGAGGAAUUGGAACAACCACGAACUGUAAUUGAGAUUCGGAAUUUCUUAGCUUACCAGGCUAUCUUGGAUGGUUGUGAAAGAUUUUUCAGUCAUUGCUUUGUCAUUGACGAGACUGUUGAGAAAGAGGUUAUGUAUGAGUGGGAAGGAAAUUGUGAGCAAAGGAUUCAACAACUGAAGUAUUUCCUCACUCAUGCACGUAUUUUGGUAUUCCCAAAGAAUAGUGGUAAUCAUAAAUUUUUAGUGAUGUUUCUUGAAUGGUAUUGGAUGCAUGUUGAUGCAAAUGUUAGGGUGAUUGCAUAUGUUUCACGAUAAAUGGAAUCUCAUAAGAUGAAUUACCCUACGGGUGACUUGGAAGUCAUGAUUACCAUUCUUGCUGUGAAGUUAUGAAGGCAUUAUAUUUGGUAAGAAUGCAAGAUUUUUACGAAUCCAAAAAGUCUUCAAUAUCCAUUACUUGGAAGGAUUUUGAUAUGAGGCAGCGAAAGUGAAUUGUAUUGCUUAAUGAACAUGAUUGUACGAUCAGGGUGAUCGUAAAGUUUGUUCUAGCUCAAGCACUUGGUGAGAAGACUACAGUAAGAUUAAUGUCUGGCACGUUUGCCAAGAGUAUCAUCUUGUGGAUUGAAAACCAACGGAAGAAAAAUUAAGAAUGGAAGAUCGAGAAGAAGUUAUACUUGUUAAGUAACAAGUUAGUACAUUUACUCCAGUGUUGAGUAACAACCUUUCCCAGACAGUGCAACAUUACUUAUUUGUUUUAUGGAAAAGAGAAUUGGUUUACGGAACUGCUGAGUUUCUUAAGUAUGUUGGUUGUGCAGUUUCCGAAGUAACGCCAUAAGGAUCAUGAAAUGUGUCAUGUGAGUCGGUUUUUGAUGACUUGUGAAUGGAAUGUUUCUGGGUAGAGAAGGAUUCGAUCAAGAAAGAGUUUUAGUAGACCCUGAGACUAUGGAUGAGUUUCCUCAAAGUAUUCAGGUGAUUAAGUUAACCUGAAAUAACCAGGAAUGGCAAAAGAGAUCAACAAAUGGAUAUGCCACUAAUCGAGUGUGUAAGGUAAAUGGUUUGAUAUUUUUGGAAAAUUCACCGCGAACAGAAAUGACGAGAAUUGGAAAAGAGACAAGAUAAGAUUUAGACACAUCAGACCAUUUUUUUUUCACUAAAGGAAUCAAUAAAGUUGCAUACAAGUUUGUGAUGCCUUCAGAAUUGGCUAAGGCACAUAAUGUAUUUUGUGUGCGAUGCGUUGUCACUAAGUGGCAGAGUCGUUACAUGGGACUUUGGUGCAACUAUUGAGAAUUAAGCCGGAUCUGAUUGGUGAGGAACUAAUGUCGACUUUGGAUUGGAAAAAGAAGGUCCUAAGAAUUAAGACAGAGUAAGUAGUAAAAGCUUUGUGAAGGAAAUCAUUCAGUAGAAAAUUACAUGGGAGACAGAAGAACGGAUGAGAGUUAUGUAUCCGAGACUAUUUUAUGAGUUUUGAUGUUCUGGUUGGUGAUUGGAAUUUCGGGGACGAAAUUCUAUAAGGAGGGGAGAUUGUCACAGCCCGUCCCGGAAUUAUUAAUUCCGAGGACGUGAGAUGACCAAUGUGACCUUAAACGGGAUUAAGGUGUGUAAAUGUAUGACAUUUGUUUUACUUUAAGAUCCUAAACUAGGGUUAGAUUUAUAUUUGUAUGUGUUAAUUUGUGCUUGGACUUAGGUAGGGCCUCCUACCCUGAAUUCCCUCCCUAAAACCCGUAACCUUUCUUCUCUCUUCUUCUUUCAUUCCAGACUCUCUCUCUCUUAUUCUUUUCUGAAAACUCUCUCAUUCUCUCUCUUACUCUCGAACUCACGGCAACCACCAAGAACCACCACAAUCUUGUACCAACGUUCCAUUUAAGACCACCAUCGUGAUCCUGGGGACUUCACGAGCACGGGGAUACCAAUUUCAGGUGAGUUUCACUUCGAAAACCCUAGUUCUAAAGUUGCCGUGAGAUGACACUGUUCAUGAGCUUUGAAUUGGUUACGUUUUAGGCUAAAACAAGAUCACAGCGAGUUUAGUAAGGUCCCAAGGAAGCUCGAAGUGCUUAGUUGGAAGUUUUUGGACGUAAGAACACGGAGAUCGACAAGUUCAAAGUUUGGCCGGAGCUUUCGAGGCGUUUUCCGGUGAAUCCCCGGCGAGUUAGGAGUCGAGGUAGGUAUCAAUCUCUUCGUCUCGUCAAGUACUACAACUUUCCUUUUUGUUUCACUCAAUUUCGUUGAGUAUUGAAGAAGUUAUACCCAUUUGAAAAAUACCCAGUUUCCGGCGACCUCCGAGGCUUUCGAGGCAGUUUCCGGCCAAACCACGGCGAACUAGGUGUUGUGCAAGGUACCAUUCUCUUUGUCUCUUCAAGGGCUACAACUUUCGUUUUUGAAUCACUUGAUUUCGUUGAGAAAUGACAAAGUUAUGGCAAUUUGAAAAACUGCCCGGAAAACGGCCGCCGGAAAAACCAGUCCGGCGACCCAAGGAAGAAGAAGGUGCUACAGUAAAAAUAAAAAAUAAAAAUAAAAUUAUUUUAAAAAUAUGUCGACGUUCGUGACGUCGAGUAGAUCACUGUGGUAUAUUCAUAUACCUAAAUUGAACACCGUAUGAGAAAGUUAUUGAGGAUUGUUGGUUAGGUGUUCAAAUAACGUUUUAUAAUUUUCACAUUUAGGUGAAAAUGUGAAUUGACGAUCCGACCGUUGGAUCGUCACCAAACUUUGAUACGUUGCAAUACGUAAUAUUUGAGGAUUAUUGGAACUUACAGAUUGGGAAUCCGAUUUGCGGAUCUUCCGGAAUUGGAAUUGUA